UCUCGCGUGACCUCCGCCCCUUCCUCCUCCCUCCCGCGCACAGGCCAAUGGAGAGCGGGAAGUUGUCCGGGCUCGGGCCCUGAUUGGGAAAACCGGAAGAUUGACAAGGCCUCACGCCCAAUCAGAUACAAAUCGUCUCGGCGCUCAUGGAUCCCCGCCUCUGGCGCGAGGGCUGGCUGAGGCGUCACGGGACCGCGGCCGCCCACGUGACCUCUGCUGCUGCUCGGUUCUCCGCCAACCCUGACUAAGGCAACUAAGAGGCGUGAGGAUUGCGGGACGUGAAAGCCGGCUAAGGAGGAAGAGCUCCUCGGCUGCUCACAGACACGAGGGGCUUCAAGGGGAGAGACUGUGCCCCUGUUGAAAUGGACCGAAAGAAUUCUGGGGGCCCGCGGCUGAAAGCCGGCCGUCGUCUGGCACACCCUCUCAGGCCUUCUGAUGUUGUAGGGACUUUGCAGCGUCCUUGUGGCGUUCUGUACAACUGAAUUGUUCGUAAGCGAUAACAAGACGAAUUACUGUCGUCCAUCGAAUUUCCCAUCGAAUCUUCCCACUCUGGAAAAAGCUAUUUUGCAUCUAUUUGUAGAUUCAUUUCCAUUUUCCAUUCAGUAACACAAGUGGGUACUUUAAAUUCCCUGUUAAGCCAGUUAUAACAUCUUAAUUAUUCCCCUCAUUAAAAAGGAGCAAAUAAAAUAUUUAACAGGUGUCGUUUGGGAUUGGUAUGACUGAGACUUAGGCCUUGAACCUCAUAAAAAAUAUAUGGCUUAACGCUUUGGGAUUAGGGAGGCUUAGCCCCAUGCCAAGUGUAUUCUCAGCUGGAGACCACAGUCAAUUUUGAGUCAAGAGGAUCGUAUUGGGAUGACUUCAUUGAGCACUGGCUGAAAGUAAAUACUGUAGGUGCUCUAAUAAAAUAAUCCAGCUGACUUUAUAUUUUUUAAGAUUAUUUAUGCGUACAGGAACUGGGGUACAGGCCAGAGGUGUGGAGGUUGAGUCAGGAGCAGCGGGAGAGUCAGGAGAGGUCUGCUGCGCCAUGUGGGUCACCUCUCUGGCUGGGGGUCGAACUCGUGUUGCAGUGGCUGUGGAUAGCUUCAUAAGUUGUGUCUUAAUCCCUUGCACGUCAGGGAGGCCCAAUCCUGCUGACUUUAAACAAAAUGAUCCUAUUGUAGAACUACGUUGCUUAAAGUCAUUGCUUCCAAGGACCAAUUGACAACAUUGAGGCUCACUGUGUUGAUUUGUUAUUUAUCUCCAUCAUUAAAAUACAGUUAGCACUCAAUCUGUAUUAGGUAUAAUUAAUUUGAAGUUACUGUGUUUGAAGAA